AGUGAACGCUGGCGGUAGGCCUAACACAUGCAAGUCGAACGGCAGCACAGUAAGAGCUUGCUCUUACGGGUGGCGAGUGGCGGACGGGUGAGGAAUACAUCGGAAUCUACUUUUUCGUGGGGGAUAACGUAGGGAAACUUACGCUAAUACCGCAUACGACCUACGGGUGAAAGCAGGGGAUCUUCGGACCUUGCGCGAUUGAAUGAGCCGAUGUCGGAUUAGCUAGUUGGCGGGGUAAAGGCCCACCAAGGCGACGAUCCGUAGCUGGUCUGAGAGGAUGGUCAGCCACACUGGAACUGAGACACGGUCCAGACUCCUACGGGAGGCAGCAGUGGGGAAUAUUGGACAAUGGGGGCAAGCCUGACACAGCCAUACCGCGUGGGUGAAGAAGGCCUUCGGGUUGUAAAGCCCUUUUGUUGGGAAAGAAAAGCAGCAGGUUAAUACCCCGCUGUUCUGACGGUACCCAAAGAAUAAGCACCGGCUAACUUCGUG
rnacentral:rRNA from 1 species